rnacentral:misc_RNA from 1 species
UGUCGUUUGUGUCCUUGGACUGCAAUGAACAUUGUUUUCUUCCACAAAUUUAGGGCUCCUUCCUUCCCUUGUUGGUUGAGCUGAAUUUGAGUUUUGGUCCAUCAGAGAUGCGAAAUCAAGGGGAAACAGAGAAUGGAUUAUGGCUGCCCCUUUGCCAUUUAUGGCAACCCCGACGCUAAUCAAGCCAAUUAGACUCUCCUUCAUCGCCUCUAGCCUCCAAAUAACACCUCCCAGCUGUCAGUUUUGCCGAGAAUUGAAGAAGAAGAAGAAGAAGAAUCCACCAACAUGUUUUGUGCCAUUUCUGAUAACUCCAAUGCCGACCAAGC